AAACGGUCUUUGAUAAUUGAUGCAUUCAAAGCCCAAUAGUCGAUACAGAGGCGUCAUGUAUCAUCUUUCUUCUUAACAAGAAAAACUGGAGAAGGGAAUGGACUUGAACUUGGGCAUAUGACACCCGAGUUUAAAAAUUCCUGCACUUGUUUCUAUCUUAGCCUUUUGACAGUGGGGGUACCGAUAUGGUCUCACAUUGAUGGGGUUGGUGUUUGGUAUAAAGGGUAUUUUAUGGUCAAUGCGUCAUUCGGGUGGAAGGCCAGAAAGAAUAAUGAAAAUGUGUUUGUAAUGAUGAAGUAAGGAGGUACUGGCAGGAUGUGUGUCUAUGGGUGGGCUAAGGUGGGUGUCAUGAGGUGUGAUGGAGGCUAAGAGGGUGUAUGGGUUACCCAAUAAGUGGUUCACGCGAUGGCAUGAUGGAAACUCAUAUGCCGAAUGUGUCAAGCCCUUAAGUGUGUAGGUAUUCCUGUCAACCGAGAAUACCAUUGUUUUUUGCUUGAAAUGCCAUCCAAUAAAUCCCAAUGAUUCCAACCAUUAGGCGCCCAAAAUAAGAUAGAAAUGGUAUUUUAUGGUCAAUGGGUCGUUCGGGGUGGAAGGCCAGAAAGAAUGGUGAAAAUGUGUUUGUAAUGAUGUAGUAAGGAGGUACUGGCAGGAUGUGUGUCUAUAGGUGGGCUAAGGUGGGUGUCAUGAGGUGUCAUGGAGGCUAAGAGGGUGUAUGGGUUGCCCAAUAAGUGGUUCACGCGAUGGCAUGAUGGAAACUCAUAUGCCGAAGGUGUCAAGCCCUGAAGUGUUUAGGUCUUCCUAUCAAGCAAGAAUACCAUGGUUUUUUGCUUGAAAUGCCAUCCAAUGAAUCCCAACAAUUCCAACCAUUAGGCGCCCAAAAUAAGAUCACACCCGAGUUUAAAAAUUCAUGCACUUGUUUCUAUCUCAGCCUUUUGACAGUAGGGGUACCGAUAUGGUCUCACAUUGAUGAGGUUGGUGUUUGGUAUAAAGGGUAUUUUAUGGUCAAUGGGUCAUUCGGG
rnacentral:lncRNA from 1 species